AGGGUAUGGUAGUAGGUGCCUUUGAACAGGGUAUGGUAGUAGGUGCCUUUGAACAGGGUACGGUAGUAGGUGCCUUUGAACAGGGUACGGUAGUAGGUGCCUUUGAACAGGGUAUGGUAGUAGGUGCCUUUGAACAGGGUAUGGUAGUAGGUGCCUUUGAACAGGGUAUGGUAGUAGGUGCCUUUGAACAGGGUAUGGUAGUAGGUGCCUUUGAACAGGGUACGGUAGUAGGUGCCUUUGAACAGGGUACGGUAGUAGGUGCCUUUGAACAGGGUACGG
ensembl:lncRNA